rnacentral:rRNA from 1 species
AAUGCGGAAGAGAUAAGUGCUGAAAGCAUCUAAGCACGAAACUUGCCCCGAGAUGAGUUCUCCCUGAGACUAUAAGUCUCCUGAAGGAACGUUAAAGACGAUGACGUUGAUAGGCCGGGUGUGUAAGCGCAGCGAUGCGUUGAGCUAACCGGUACUAAUGAACCGUGAGGCUUAACCUUAC